AGGGCAGUAGCUCAAGUGGUAGAGCACUCGACUCCAAAUCGAGCGGUUGUGGGUUCAAGUCCUGCCUGCCCUG
rnacentral:tRNA from 1 species